UGAACCAUUGCUCCUAAGGAAAAUAAACAUACACCCAUACCCACACCCACCCCACACACUCCAAGUAGAUUAUAAUCUUAAAUUCUGAAAACAGCUCCCUCCUCUGGUAGAUUCUAUUUUCCUGAUUAUAUAGAAGAGAAAAUGAAAUUCAGAAGUAUUUAAGUGACUUGCCUGAGCCACUCCACUAAGUAACCAGAGUUGGGAUUUUAAACCCUGCUCAACUGACCCCAGAGCCUAUGCUUUCUGCACUAUACUGUACUGUCCCUUACUUCUCCAUUCUCUGGUCAUCACUGCAUGAGCUGAAGUAAGAAGGUGCGGUGUUGUCUCAACUGACCUCAGAAAAUCCAUCCUGUGUCUACAGAAAUGAACAUCCCCUCCCAUGAACCCUAAUAAAUAUCUGGAAGAUCUCAAGGAAUGAACCUUGGCUGACCCAUUUGUGCACAUCUUUGAAUUCCCUCCCUUCUGCACUUUUUGUGGAACUGGAGCACUGCCAUUACCUGCAUUUCCGGGCUGAAGGGCUUUCUCUGACUGCCAGAACCCAAUCUACAAGCCAUUCCCAC
rnacentral:lncRNA from 1 species